CCCUAGCCCUGAUAGCAGCGGCAUCCUUUUGUCCCGAUUUUUUUCGGGACAAAAGAUAUAGCGGAUAGCAGGAACAGCU
rnacentral:sRNA from 1 species